rnacentral:rRNA from 1 species
GAGAGGCGCAAACGUUAUUCGGAUUUACUGGGCUUAAAGAGUUCGUAGGCGGCGCAGAAAGUAGGGUGUGAAAGCCCUCGGCUCAACCGAGGAAUUGCGCUCUAAACUACUGUGCUUGAGGAAGCUAGAGGUGAGCGGAACUGAUGGUGGAGCGGUGAAAUGCGUUGAUAUCAUCAGGAACACCGGAGGCGAAGGCGGCUCACUGGGGCUUAUCUGACGCUGAGGAACGAAAGCCAGGGGAGCGAACGGGAUUAGAUACCCCGGUAGUCCUGGCCGUAAACGAUGAGCACUAGGCCGGAGGUCUGCACAGAUUUCCGGCCGUAGCUAAAGUGUUAAGUGCUCCGCCUGGGGAGUAUGGUCGCAAGGCUG